rnacentral:tRNA from 1 species
UGGCUGAGUAGUAAAGCGCUUUGCUUCCGAACCAAGAGAUCCGGGUUCGAAUCCUGG